GCAGUUGGCCGGCCUGUCGCGUGCGUUUCGGCGCAGGAGGAAAGUCCGGGCAACACAGAGCAUCCUACUUUCUAACAGAAAGCUGUCCGCGAGGGUAGAGUAACGUAGAAGAAAACGACCGCCCCUCUUUCUUCGGGGAGAGAGGUAAGGGUGAGAAGGCGGGGUAAGAGCCCACCAGCCGCAUGGUGACAUGUCGGGCUGUACGUCUUAGGAGUUGUAAGGUCAUGUAUACCGGCGUUAUGAGAGUUGCUCGCUCCAUGUCGGAGGGUAGACCGCUAAAGUGGUAUGGUGACAUGCCACUCAGAUAAAUGACAGGCAUCUUGUUGAAUGAACGGAUUUAAGGAAUGAAAAAAUUAAUACUUUCAUCCAACAGGAUACAGAACUCGGCUUACAGGCUGACUGCUUUU
rnacentral:RNase_P_RNA from 1 species